rnacentral:rRNA from 1 species
GACGAACGCUGGCGGCGUGCCUAAUACAUGCAAGUAGAACGCUGAAGGAGGAGCUUGCUCUUCUGGAUGAGUUGCGAACGGGUGAGUAACGCGUAGGUAACCUGCCUGGUAGCGGGGGAUAACUAUUGGAAACGAUAGCUAAUACCGCAUAAUAGUAGAUGUUGCAUGACAUUUACUUAAAAGGUGCAAUUGCAUCACUACCAGAUGGACCUGCGUUGUAUUAGCUAGUUGGUGGGGUAACGGCUUACCAAGGCGACGAUACAUAGCCGACCUGAGAGGGUGAUAGGCAACACUGGGACUGAGACACGGCCCAGACUCCUACGGGAGGAAGCAGUAGGGAAUCUUCGGCAAUGGACGGAAGUCUGACCGAGCAAAGCCGCGUAAGUGAAGAAGGUUGUCGGAUCGUAAAGCUAUGUUGUAAGAGAAGAACGAGUGUGAGAGUGGAAAGUUCACACUGUGACGGUAUCUUACCAGAAAGGGACGGCUAACUACGUG